AUUGAACGCUGGCGGCAGGCCUAACACAUGCAAGUCGAACGAGUGGCGGACGGGCGAGUAAUUUCUGGGCAACUGCCUGAUGUAGGGGGCUACCUACUGGAAACGUUAGAUACUGCCGCAAACAACCGGCUGUGCCGCGCUGGGAUUAGGUAGUAGGUGGGGUAAAGGCUCACCUAGGCGACGAUACCUAGCUGGUCUGAGAGGGUGACCGGCCACACUGGAACUGAGAAACGGGCCAGACUCCUACGGGAGGCAGCAGGGGGGAAUAUGGGACAAUGGGCGAAAGUCUGAUGCAGCAAUGCCGCGUGGAUGAAGAAGGCUUUCGGGUUGUAAAGUACUUUCAGCGGGGAGGCGUUACCCGAAGAAGAAGCACCGGCUAACUCCGUGCCAGCAGCCGCGGUAAUUC
rnacentral:rRNA from 1 species